rnacentral:rRNA from 1 species
UACGUAGGGUGCAAGCGUUAAUCGGAAUUACUGGGCGUAGAGCGUGCGCAGGCGGCUUUGCAAGACAGAUGUGAAAUCCCCGGGCUUAACCUGGGAACUGCAUUUGUGACUGCAAGGCUAGAGUACGGUAGAGGGGGAUGGAAUUCCGCGUGUAGCAGUGAAAUGCGUAGAUAUGCGGAGGAACACCGAUGGCGAAGGCAAUCCCCUGGACCUGUACUGACGCUCAUGCACGAAAGCGUGGGGAGCAAACAGG